AUACUUGGAGGCCAUGUCACCUGAGAGUCAAUGGGCAACGAUCAAAUUUCACCUUGAGCAGAUUCUUUUGUUUGCUUUUUAGUCACAAAUAGCUUGGCCCUAAGUGGUGGCUCCCAUUCUUGUAAGAUGCGUUUAUUCAUCGUGUAAUCACCAGUUCCCUGUAGUGGGGGCGUGGAUGGAGUGUCAGAGGCUCCUGCUGGUCUUUAGGGUGUCUGGCCUCCAGGAAUCCUAGAGGUAGUAUUUGGAGAGAUUUUUAAAAGCUUUGUUUCUGUGACCAGCAAAACCUGGAUUUGACACUGAGGUCAGCCCGUUUCAGCCAGUGACGUAACCUGUCUUUUUGCCCCAGUAAAUUGGGAACUACAGCACUCGAUGUUAGAGUUGUCGUGAAGAUUAAAGAAGGUGACGACUGGACAACUCCCAGCCCAAUACCUGAAACUGUACCAGCACCCAGUGAGCACUGCUAUUCCUGUGACUGCUGCACAUUUGCCUUAUCUCAGCAGUAUGCCUGUGUCACUUUUUUGUGAAGAGAACAUCCCGUGUACUAUCGUGUAGAAGUUGUAGUAGACGCUGUGGUCUUUCCAACAACAAACAAACUGCUGGGACAGGACCCAGGAGGUUCCGGAGGAUCAGGAGGUCCACCUGGGAGAAGAGCUGAUCGGCUAGUAGGAGAGCUGGAAAAGCAACAGACACCUACUUAGUCCCUUCCCUGGGGCCCGGCUCCAGUCUGAGCUGUCACGCCACAGCAAAGGCAUCACUUCAGGACAGCAAAGCCCCUGUCUCCCUCCCUUCCAGCUCCUCAGACUUCACCCUGGUAACACGUUUGUUUAAAAAACAUAUUUUUCCCCCUUGUAAAGAAUCUAGGAUACAAGGGGUCAGCCCAGCAGUUUAGGUAUCAAGAAGAAACUGCUCUCGGAGCUAAAGUAAGAAACAGUGCCUGUCUAUAGCGCAAAUAAAGAGUUGGAACAAGAUAAAA
rnacentral:lncRNA from 1 species